rnacentral:rRNA from 1 species
UACGUAGGUGGCAAGGCGUUGUCCGGAUUUACUGGGCGUAAAGAGCGCGCAGGCGGUCGUUCAAGUCGCGUGUGAAAGCCCCCGGCUCAACUCGGGAGGGUCACGCGAUACUGAUCGACUCGAAGGCAGGAGAGGGUAGUGGAAUUCCUAGUGUAGAGGUGAAAUUCGUAGAUAUUAGGAAGAACACCAGUGGCGAAGGCGGCUC